GAACAUUUUUGGCAUCCAAUUUUCAGAGCCAGAGCCAGCAAAACCCGCUUGUUCUCCCCCAGUUUUCCACUCGCUCCGUGCUUUUUAGCUUUUGCUUUCCCAUAUGUUGGCCAAAUACCAGUCGAGUCUUCUUCUCAAAAUGAAAACGUCAGAACUCAUUCAUAAUAUAUGAUAUGUGCACAUCAAAUCCCCGAGAGCAACAGAAUUGUCUAACAAAAACUGACAAAUUACAAUUAAUUGCUGCCCUAAUGAAGGUUGAACCGCAUGAAGCGAAUGAAGCGACUGACUGAAAGACAAACAAACGGGUUAUAAAGCGCGAUGGAGCAUCACGGGAAAAAGAAAAACAGAAAAACCCAAAGCCCCAAAGAACUGAGGCUUUCAGUCGGACUCUGACUGAGAAUUGGGCGUGCCGAGGCGGAAGACAGACUGCGACCUACUCGUACUACAAAAACCCGAAACGCAAAUUGAAUUUGGUGAGAAAGGCAAAGAGAAAAAGGCCACAACAAAAAAUUGGACGCUUCAUUAGGUUUUGAACUGUUUGCGCUUGAGAUGACACCGGGCGAGAGAAUGUCGGAUUGGAGACAGAACCGCAAAUAAUCGGUAUGCAUGAAAGCCAAGAACAUGGCAUAAAGAUAGAAUAUCUUUAAGAUACACUUCAAUCACUCGAAGCAUAUCGUUGAACUAGAUUCCCCCAGCUGGCUACUGAAUUGAGCUUUGAACGGACUCCGGGCAACUAAAAGUUGAUUUUCAAGUUAAUUAUCGGCUAGCAUCUGCGCUCAGCUCUAUGUUGCAAAUAGCCACGGAGAUGGGAAUGUUGCAGCAUCGCAGCUUUGAUGUUUUAAUUGAGUUUCCUCCGACGGCAGCUGAGCUCCAGUCGAUUCACUUGAAAUCUUCAAGGAAAAGUUGCACAAGUUAAAUAAUUGCAUUACACUAAACGGUACAACUUGGCCAAAUGAGGGGCUGAUUGGCACGGUGAUCGCGCGGGGUUGACUGCCCGAGUCCCAAAUCCCGGCCAAAACCAUAACAAUGGCUUGCAUUUCGAUGCUGCUAUUGCCUUUGCAAUGUACAGUGAACAAUAAAAAUUAACUGGAGCAUCAAUAACAAUGCAAAAGCCAUAAAAUUGGUGCUAACAAUGUAGAGCAUCGCGGUGGCGCCCAGCCAUUCUAUUCCGCAAAAUAUAUUGCAGUUUUGUAACUGAUAAGAGAGUCGAAAGGAGCAGGCGGAGCUGGACGAGGAGCGAGGCACUGGUGUGGAUUCGUGUGCAUUCAAAAUUCGGAUGUUGGUUUUCUGAUUCUAGUUUUUAUUUUCGCUGGGGUGUCAUAAAAAUUGAUGGAUGCCCCGGACCCCUCAGCAAACCACCCCUUCCGAGCCGGUACAUUGGAAAUUGAUGAGUGCAAAAAUUUGAGAUAAU
ensembl:ncRNA lncRNA:CR45965 long non-coding RNA:CR45965